rnacentral:rRNA from 1 species
UACAGAGGGGGCAAGCGUUGUUCGGAAUUACUGGGCGUAAAGGGCGCGUAGGCGGCUUGGCAAGUGGAAGGUGAAAUCCCUCGGCUUAACCGAGGAACUGCCUUCCAGACUGCUUUGCUUGAGGCCGGGAGAGGUGAGUGGAAUUCCCAGUGUAGCGGUGAAAUGCGUAGAUAUUGGGAGGAACACCAGUGGCGAAGGCGGCUCACUGGACCGGUUCUGACGCUGAGGCGCGAAAGCGUGGGGAGCAAACGGG